AUGGGGGGAGGGGAGUCCAAAUUCAACACACGCAUUGACGCAAGAGGGCCCUGGCCCGCCUUCGUGAGAGACCUUUUUAGUGUCGCGGCGUCGUGCAGUGCCACCUUGUAGAGCAGUAAUAUAGCGUCCGACCCAAGAGGACUGAGAAAGCGGAAGACUAAACUAAGUUCCGAACACCCGCCGCUACCACCAACCAAUGGGGGAGGUGGCAAUCUCAGGCACAAAGACCCGAGAAGUCACUUGGAGAUACCGGCAAACCGCUACUCCCCGACUCAAGCCCCCCAGAAGCGAGGCACUCCCGGGGCCCCACCUCGGUUUAGUUAGGUUUUAUCGCCUUGCUAAAAAGUCCAACUUUCCACGUGUUGUAUGUAAGUGUAAUACAAAUUUGUUACGUUUUAACAUUAAUUCGUCUCCAAUAAUUUUAUAUUUUUUAACCUUGCAAAUCACGCGGCCACUUCUAUUUGUUGUUGUUUCUCAACCCUCUUGUGUCCGACGUGUUUUUUUUCAGCGCUGACGCAUUUUUUGCUUUUUUCAGAUAUUUUAGUCUGUUUUGCCCUUAGACUUUCCGGUUGCUACUUUUUUUUGAAGGCUUUUCGACUGCCGAGGAAAGUUCUUUACACCUGGACACUAGUUUAACGGAUUUAGAUACUAUUAGCCUUUCAAUCAGAUUAAUGUUCUUUUUGGUUUUUAAAUUUUUA